rnacentral:lncRNA from 1 species
AUGUCUGGUGCCUCGCGAAGGAUGCUCUUCCCCCGGGGCUGUCGAGGCGGACCCCCCGCAGACAGCUCCGCGCGCCGAGACCCGCGCCCGGCUGCAGGGGGAGGGGAUCCGGGCGCCCCCCGCCCCCCGCCUCCGCGCCCCGCCCCCCGCCCCCGCCCGCCGCCCGCCGCCUCACCUAUCAGAUUUCCCGUGCGCCUCGCCGCGCCCCUCCUCCCGCCUCCUCAAUGCCGAGCGGAGGGGCAGCCGCCCUCGGCCUGGACCCGGCGCCGGCGACGACCGGCCGCGCGCCUCCCCGUGUCGCCGCGAUGCGGCUGUGAGCUCACUGCGGCUGCAGCCCGCCGGGCCGGGGGGGCGCGGGGAGCGCGGGCAGCGCGGGGCGCACGUUUCUAAUGAAAUAUUCCAAAUCAACCUCAAGGCCAAACAUGUUCCAUCUGGAGAUGGAGCCAGGGAUGGAGACAUAUCAACCCAUCCAGGGAUAUUUCCCCGGCGUUCACUGAGUAUCACCGGGACCCAUGUGAGAACUUGUAACUCACUGCUGGGAAUAUAUUUUUCUCUAGACUGGCUUCUUCAUUUGUCUUUCCCACAUUUCCUUCCCUUUGCUGUCCUUUCUUUUCUGUGGUGUUAUGCCUGUUUGCUGUUUCUCUUUACAUCAAUUAUAUUUAAGAAGGGCAGGUUCUGCUCUACCUUCAGAUAUAAUGUGAAUGAAUUAUCCUUGGUUGCUUUUCUCCUUAUGUGAGAAUUAUUUCUUUUCUGCUUGGAGAUUUAAUUUGUGUUCUGGAUAUCAUGUUUUAUCUGCUUUGCUGUUGCCUGAGGAUACAAAGGAGGCGGAGCUGGAAUUGUGGCUAAUUGUGAUUGCUGGGUUUAGAUUCUCUUUGUGCAUCCUGUAAUUGUAUGAAGAGUUGCUUUCAGGGUACGCUUGGGUUUUAGAUUGCCUCCAAAUUCAGAAUGUAGCUUGAAAGCAUUAAAUUUUUUUUCAAAUUAUGAAGUAUUUCAAACAUACAACUGAGUUAGGAUUUAAAAUAUAUUAGGUGUGUAAUUCAAGAAGUUAGACAAAAGACAAAGUUAACCUUUAAAAGGCUAGGAAAGGAAAAAUGAGGAUACGAGUAGCAAUGAGUGAAAUAGAGAAUAAAGCAGACAGCAGUGUUUGCAGACUCAAAAACUAUUUGUUAGAAAAACCAGGGACAUAAAGCCCAGCAAGAUUUAACGAAAAAGAGAAAAGAGCAUAAAUAAAUUGUAUUAAAAAUAAAUAAGGUGCACAACCAUGGAGAGACAACACUUUUAUUUUUAAUUUUUUUUUUUUUUUGAGAGAGAGAGAGCAAGCAUGAGCAAAGGAAGAAGGGGCAAAGGGAGAGGGACAGAGGAUCUCAGACAGACCCCCUACUGAGCAUGAAGCCUGACAUGACCCUGAGAUCAUGACCUGAGUCGAAAUCAAGAGUCGAUGGUCAAAUGACUGAGCCAGCCAGGUGCCCUGAGAAAUGACAAUUUUAAAUCGUAAUAGAAUAUUAAAAACAAUUUUGUGCUGUUACCUUUCAAAACAUAGAUCAUUUUGUAAAAAUAACAAAGUUCACUGAAGAAGAACUAGGUCCUGAAUAAAAAAUAACAAUGAAACACACUGAAUUUAUUUAUUUAUUUAUUUAUUUAUUUAUUUAUUUAUUUAUUUAUUUAUUAUUUUAAAAAUUUUAUUUUUUUAUUCAUGAGAGACAGAGAGAGAGAGAGAGAGGCAGAAACACAGGCAGUGGGAGAAGCAGGCUCCAUGCAGGGAGCCGGACGUGGGCUCCAUCCCGAGACUCCAGGGCCACGCCCUGGGCCAAAGGCAGGCACCAAGCCGCUGAGCCACCCAGGCGUCUGAAACACACUGAAUUUAUAAUCAGAAUUAUACCUGAUCCCAUCCUAAAAGACAAUAACCCUAGAAAGAUUUAGAGAUGAACUUCACUAAAUUUUAAGGGAACAACAAAAAGCAACCCUUUCAUUGUGCAAGCUAUUAUAAGAAACAGAAAAAUUCUCAACUUCAGAUGGCCGCACUAAAAGAAAAUAAAAUAAUUAAUAGUGUUGCUUCUAGGGCAGCCCGGGUGGCCCAGUGGUUUAGCACCGCCUUUGGCCCCAGGUGUGAUCCUGGAGACCCGGGAUUGAGUCCCAUCAGGCUCUCUGCAUGGAGCCUGCUUCUCUCUCUGCCUGGGUCUCUGCCUCUCCCUCUCUCUCUCUCUCUCUCUCUUUCUCAUGAAUAAAUAAAUAAAAUCUUAAAAAAAUAGUGUUGCUUCUAAACACAAAUGGAAAGUUCCUAAAUAACACAUCAGGUUUUUAUUAAUAUAUGACAUCAGUAAGUUAAAGGAGGGAAAAAUACAUGAUUACCUCAAACGAUGCAGCCCAAAAUAAAAGAAUCAAUAAAUUUCAGCACUAGUUCCUGACAAAGCAGGGAGCUUUCUUAAUUUGUCCGAGACAUUUAUUGAAAUGCCUACCAUCAUAUUAAUGGUAAGCCUUAAAAGAAUUCUUAUUAAAGUCAAGAGCGAAACAAGGGUGUCAUUAUCAGUGCUUUAUAUUCAACAUGGUACUUGAGCUUCUAGCCUGUGCAAUAAGACCAGAAAAGAAACGAAGUUGUUAUUAUUUGCAGACAAUAUUGUGUCAGAUCAAAUAGCCUAGAUUAUGCCAUAGAAACAACCUGCAAAUCUCAGAUCUUAAUGCUGUAAGUCUGUUUUCACAUAGGCAAAGUCUAUUGCCAAUUCAAGCUACUUUU